AACGAACGCUGGCGGCAUGCCUAACACAUGCAAGUCGAACGAGACCUUCGGGUCUAGUGGCGCACGGGUGCGUAACGCGUGGGAACCUGCCCUUAUGUUCGGAAUAACUCCCCGAAAGGGGGGCUAAUACCGGAUAAUGUCUUCGGACCAAAGAUUUAUCGCCUUUGGAUGGGCCCGCGUUGGAUUAGCUAGUUGGUAGGGUAAAAGCCUACCAAGGCGACGAUCCAUAGCUGGUCUGAGAGGAUGAUCAGCCACACUGGGACUGAGACACGGCCCAGACUCCUACGGGAGGCAGCAGUGGGGAAUAUUGGACAAUGGGGGAAAGCCUGAUCCAGCCAUGCCGCGUGAGUGAUGAAGGCCUUAGGGUUGUAAAGCUCUUUUAGCCGGGAUGAUAAUGACAGUACCGGGAGAAUAAGCCCCGGCUAACUCCGUG
rnacentral:rRNA from 1 species